GUUCUCUAGUCAGUGCUGCUGCUGGAAACCAGAGUCUUCUUUUGUUUUCCCUCUCACCUCUGGCUGCCUCUCUUUCCCCUCAAAGGUCAGAGCAGUGCCAAGGACAGAAGAGAGAGUAGACCCAGCCUUGGCCCUGCUAGGCUGGGCAGCCUGGCAGGUAGAGUCAGCAGGGGUAGAGCUUGCUUUCCUGUUCACAAUCUUCAACCAAGUUCAGGGAGGUCUGAGUACUGAGGUCUUCAGAGCCACUGCAGCCCCAGGUAGCUGAGGACAACCUCCAAGCGCAGGAGCGCAAAGGCUGGCGUUCUUCAGGCUCUGAGGCUGUCCCUCCUGGUGGAGGUGAACUGCUUAUUAUCGGUGUGGACAAGACUGUGGAUGGAGACUGACAGGAUCCUGGCUUGGGGGCCCUCCGGCAGGGCUGGCUGCUGGGCUGGCAGGCUCUGGCGCUCCCCUUCCCCAGAACCGACUUUGUCCCUGGCAGCCAUGGUGGCUGCACUAACCACAUUCUUCCUCCACCUUUGCACUAAGAAAAGCAAAUAAGCAGACCAAAGAACUGUUUGCAUUUGCCCCAGAUGCUCCCUGGCUGCAGGAAGAGGUCAGUAGGGAGCAUGCAGGGAGAGGGGAAGGGAGAC
rnacentral:lncRNA from 1 species